UGAUGAAAGGCCUUAGGGUUGUAAAGCUCUUUCGGGUGGGACGAUGAUGACGGUACCACCAGAAGAAGCCCCGGCUAACUUCGUGC
rnacentral:rRNA from 1 species